GGGGACGUUCCGGAUUCGACAGGGGCUGUUUGAGCAACUUAAGCGUGCCGGAGGUAUCGGCUCCGUCAUAAACGAUACUCAGUUAAUAAUAACUGGCAAACAAGAUAACUUCGCAGUAGCUGCCUAAGAGCACUCUGCAUCAUCCCAUGACGUUUCCUGUGCGUCGUGAUCGGAUGAUUCAACCUUAACAGGAUACGCAUCUGGUUCUUCCGUCUGGAGAACCGGGUGAAGAGAUCAAUCAGACUAGCAUGGAUCUGUGGUCUGUUCAUUACCAUCAGCCAUGCGAAAUUGAAAAAUGGACUACGCACGUAGAAAGAGUUGUGCCAAAGUCUCUGGACGCGGGUUCGACUCCCGCCGUCUCCAUAU
rnacentral:tmRNA from 1 species